GAUGAACGCUGGCGGCGUGCCUAAUACAUGCAAGUCGAGCGAACGGACGAGAAGCUUGCUUCUCUGAUGUUAGCGGCGGACGGGUGAGUAACACGUGGAUAACCUACCUAUAAGACUGGGAUAACUUCGGGAAACCGUAGCUAAUACCGGAUAAUAUUUUGAACCGCAUGGUUCAAAAGUGAAAGACGGUCUUGCUGUCACUUAUAGAUGGAUCCGCGCUGCAUUAGCUAGUUGGCAAGGUAACGGCUUACCAAGGCAACGAUGCAUAGCCGACCUGAGAGGGUGAUCGGCCACACUGGAACUGAGACACGGUCCAGACUCCUAUGGGAGGCAGCAGUAGGGAAUCUUCCGCAAUGGGCGAAAGCCUGACGGAGCAACGCCGCGUGAGUGAUGAAGGUCUUCGGAUCGUAAAACUCUGUUAUUAGGGAAGAACAUAUGUGUAAGUAACUGUGCACAUCUUGACGGUACCUAAUCAGAAAGCCACGGCUAACUACGUG
rnacentral:rRNA from 1 species